rnacentral:rRNA from 1 species
AGAGUUUGAUCCUGGCUCAGAUUGAACGCUGGCGGAAUGCUUUACACAUGCAAGUCGAACGGCAGCACGGGAGCUUGCUCCUGGUGGCGAGUGGCGAACGGGUGAGUAAUGCGUCGGAACGUACCGAGUAAUGGGGGAUAACGCAGCGAAAGCUGUGCUAAUACCGCAUACGCCCUGAGGGGGAAAGUGGGGGAUCGCAAGACCUCACGUUAUUCGAGCGGCCGACGUCUGAUUAGCUAGUUGGUGGGGUAAUGGCCUACCAAGGCGACGAUCAGUAGCGGGUCUGAGAGGAUGAUCCGCCACACUGGAACUGAGACACGGUCCAGACUCCUACGGGAGGCAGCAGUGGGGAAUUUUGGACAAUGGGGGCAACCCUGAUCCAGCCAUUCCGCGUGAGUGAAGAAGGCCUU